UACAUUUUAUGCGCUUUUUAUGUUAGUUACUCCUCUGUUUGUCGUGCCUUUCUAUGCUAAAAAUUGAUGUGAUAUAUGAGGAGUAUGCAAAGAAAUGCUGGAAGAAUAUCAAAUUUGAGACAAUGCAUUCGUUAUUUCUUCUUGAGGGAUAUGUAUAUUGAGCCACAAAAUGUGAUAAUCAGGGUGGGGAAAGGGGUUUAAGGGGGAAGGUAGUGAAGAAGACCUUAGAAUUACUCGAGUUUUAGGAGCAGUGGGAUGGUAGUGGCAAUCUUUGAAGUUUGGGGGCUGUUUUUCACAUAAAAACGUGUGAUUCGGGACUGUUUUCGGGCACCGUUGGGGUGUGAUUUGGGACUGUUUUUGGGCUGCCCCUCCGAGUCUAUACCUCACUCGGUUCAGUCAGAUUAUUCAGUAAGAUAUGGUUUGAUGUUUGAGGCCUCGCUUCACUAACGAAAGUCGGUUCCUUGUGAACUCCGUUAGCUAGGCGCAGGGUUGAAAGAUGGGGAAGAAAACCUAUAUAUAUCCUUGGAGCUGAUCCAAAUUCAAAAAAUUCCUGGGGGCGAUUGGGAUUCCAACGAGAGGGGAGGCUGGGAGAGGAAACUCACUUCAAGAGCGGAAAGCACAGGGAAGGCAGCACGCUUGGAGCUCUAUGAAACAAAAUUCAUCUCAUAAGACUUAGAAAUCGCCAUAUAAUUGGUUUUCGUCUGAUUUCAAAACCUUGUUUUCUUCAAUUCUUGAUCUCAGUAGAAGGUCACCCCUGAGUUACGGCCCAACAUCAUUAAGCGGCAUCACUGAACUUGCCGAACUUAGACCUGGGAGAUUGCUUAAGCCUAAAGAUAGCUUUGCGAAGAUGACACACCUGAGAACUCUCCUCCUGAGCAACAAACCCAGUUGGCACCAUGCAAACUUAUGGAGAUCAACACGCGAGAAAGCAUCCUUAACAUCUAAUUGAAACAAGAGCCAACCAAGACUGACAGUGAAAGAAAUAAGAAGCAGAAAAGAGCCAUGAUUCUCCGCAUAAUCAUAUCUAUAAGUGUGGGUGUAACCUUUGGCAACAAGGCGAGCUUUGUAGCACUCAAAAAAUCUAUCAUGAUGGUACUUCAAAGUGAAACGGUGGUUUUUCCAGAAGGAAGCGGAACCAACUCCUAAGUACCAUAGUGGUGAACAGCAAACAUCUUAUCCUCUGCAGCUAUCUUCUGACAAUAUUAGGGAGGGAGAGAGAGGAGGCAAUGACUAGAAUACCUGUACUUACUAACACUAUAUCUUCUGACAAUAUUAAAUCCUUCCCUACAGUCAUUGUCAUUCAGUUUUGUGCGUUGUACCCAUUAAGGUAGGCAAAACCAUGUUUGCAUACCCCUUCUCACAUGAAUAUCACAAGUUACUAUAUAUCAUUUUAGUGGACGAAAAUAGCCUAGAUGUUGUUUUAGUGGAGAAGAUGAGGUUGUGAACAAAAAUAGACUAGAGAUUGUUUUAGCAGACAAAUACUAGUGAAUUCACGAAGGAAAGUAAGAGAGCACUGCAGUGAUGUAUGUGGUUGUUGACUUUUACUUUAUGCUACUAGACAGUCUUGCACGCAAUUUAGGCGCAUUACGACAACUUUCAUAAGUUAUGAAAAAAUAAGGAUGCAUAAUUGCAUAUUAUUUCAAUGGAUCCUCUUUUUUUAUUUUUAAAUGGAAGGUGCGUUAGAUUAAACAUCAAUGGUACUUAGGUCCCUCCAAGAUAUGGCGCGUCUGGUGCGCAUCUGUAUUCUUCUAUUCCACCACAAACACAGGUCUACGACGCGUUGUAUCCAAAUAAAGGUCCCUUCCACUUCACCAGCUAGUCUAUAGCUACAAAAAUCUCUCCCCAAAGAUGUUCAUUGCCAAGAAAGGGUCUUUCAAGGUCGAACUUCAGUCUCUCCAAUUGGUUGGACUUUCUGUACUGCACUGUAGAACAAAACAGUGAAUAGACUUAUCACUAAGUGGAUAAAUCUAUUAACUGGUACUACAAAACAUGAGCCAUACCUUUGCUUCUCCCAACAUUACUGUGAAGAUGAAGUGGGUAGAUGGGCACGCUACCCCUUUCUAAAGUAACCUAGCGCGAGGAUAACUUUUCAUGCGUAAAAGUGUAAGGGUUGUUGAUUGCUGCGUUCAAUUGAAAAGCAUGGGAUGGACAAUGGAAGUGUAACUUGGCUUGCUGCUAUUCCCUAGGCUUUGGCAAUGGUAGCAGAAGAGAAGACAGAGGCUGCCGCCUUUGUAGGAUGAGAAGGAGCACAGUCUCAGACGAAGAUCCAUUGCGCCCUGAGCGGAGCCAUAGAUAGCAGCAUAGAGUCUCUCCAGAAAGAGGUGUGGGAAAAAGUUGGAGAGUUUCAAGACAAUGUAAAAUGAAAGCAGUAAAAUGUGAAAAUGAGGAGGAAGGGACAUCUUAUGUAGUAUUCAAAGCACAAUGAGAUAACGGGCCAUCAUGAUGCUUUAUGUGGUGCAGACAAUCAUUGAGGGAGGAAAUUAUGAAUGCUUGAAGGGACAGGUUAGCAGAAAAGGUCUGCCAAAAGAUUUCGAAACCACAAAAUGCUCCGAAUUUGUUGCUACUUUUAUAAAUGCGCAUGAGGGGGGCAUAUAUUAGGUUCAUCCUUGUUGCUUUCAAAAUCUAAUGGUCUCCCGCAGAAAUAGAUCAAGAUUGAAGAUGCACCAGAGUCGAUCACUUUUUCUUUUUUAGACAUGCCACGUAGUGCUUCAUUGAGGAUCCCAGUAUUAUUCUAAUACUUAAUCAGAUAUAACAGAAGAAUAAGAUGA